rnacentral:rRNA from 1 species
GACAGAGGGUGCAAACGUUGUUCGGAAUUACUGGGCGUAAAGCGCGUGUAGGCGGCCAUCUAAGUCGGGCGUGAAAUCCCACGGCUCAACCGUGGAAGUGCACUCGAAACUGGAUGGCUAGAGUCCUGGAGAGGAAGGUGGAAUGCUUGGUGUAGAGGUGAAAUUCGUAGAUAUCAAGCGGAACACCGGUGGCGAAGGCGGCCUUCUGGACAGUGACUGACGCUGAGACGGCGAAAGCGUGGG